UACGUAGGGUGCGAGCGUUGUCCGGGAAUUAUUGGGCGUAAAGAGCUCGUAGGCGGCUCGUUGCCGGUCAAUCGUGAAAACCCGGGGCGUUAACUUCGGGCUUGCGGGUUGAUACGGGCGGGCUGGAGUUCGGUAGGGGAGACUGGAAUUCCUGGUGUAGCGGUGAAAUGCGCAGAUAUCAAGGAGGGAACACCGGUGGGCGAAGGCGGGUCUCUGGGCAGUAACUGACGCUGGAGAAGCGAAAGCGUGGGGAGCGAACAGG
rnacentral:rRNA from 1 species